CCUACCGGACUGAUGAGAUGACGAUGAUGAUAAGAUGCUGUAAAAUUUAUCCUCUCUGACGAAGGAAUCACAGCCUUUGGACAACAUUGAUGACCUAUGGACUACAUCUUCACACGUGCCAUAAUGCUACACGUGUUAGUACGGAAUCACCCAGAAGAACGACGUGGAGUCUUUUUUCCCGGACGGAUAACGCUGGCUGAAAAAACUCCCAGAUUGACGAUUGACGCAAAUUCCGUUUGAAAACCUUCUGGCCGACCUCAUAAGCUGAUGCAAACUUCUUGAACUCAUUCCAUCUUCAUCAAUGACGACCCUACCGGACUGAUGAGAUGACGAUGAUGAUAAGAUGCUGUAAAAUUUAUCCUCUCUGACGAAGGAAUCACAGCCUUUGGACAACAUUGAUGACCUAUGGACUACAUCUUCACACGUGCCAUAAUGCUACACGUGUUAGUACGGAAUCACCCAGAAGAACGACGUGGAGUCUUUUUUCCCGGACGGAUAACGCUGGCUGAAAAAACUCCCAGAUUGACGAUUGACGCAAAUUCCGUUUGAAAACCUUCUGGCCGACCUCAUAAGCUGAUGCAAACUUCU